rnacentral:rRNA from 1 species
GCUAGCAGCCAUGUCACUCUGCAACUCACAACUGGUAAACCACUAAAGCUAAGCAGGUGUGAGCCUGGUCAGUACCUGGAUGGGAGACCUCCUGGGAAAAACUAAGGUUGUUGCUGGAA